GAGGAACGCUGGCGGCGUGCCUAAUACAUGCAAGUAGAACGCUGAAGAGAGGAGCUUGCUCUUCUUGGAUGAGUUGCGAACGGGUGAGUAACGCGUAGGUAACCUGCCUUGUAGCGGGGGAUAACUAUUGGAAACGAUAGCUAAUACCGCAUAACAAUGGAUGACACAUGUCAUUUAUUUGAAAGGGGCAAUUGCUCCACUACAAGAUGGACCUGCGUUGUAUUAGCUAGUAGGUGAGGUAACGGCUCACCUAGGCGACGAUACAUAGCCGACCUGAGAGGGUGAUCGGCCACACUGGGACUGAGACACGGCCCAGACUCCUACGGGAGGCAGCAGUAGGGAAUCUUCGGCAAUGGGGGCAACCCUGACCGAGCAACGCCGCGUGAGUGAAGAAGGUUUUCGGAUCGUAAAGCUCUGUUGUAAGUCAAGAACGAGUGUGAGAGUGGAAAGUUCACACUGUGACGGUAGCUUACCAGAAAGGGACGGCUAACUACGUG
rnacentral:rRNA from 1 species